GACGAACGCUGGCGGCGUGCUUAACACAUGCAAGUCGAACGGAAAGGCCCUGCUUUUGUGGGGUGCUCGAGGGGCGAACGGGUGAGUAACACGUGAGUAACCUGCCCUUGACUUUGGGAUAACUUCAGGAAACUGGGGCUAAUACCGGAUCGGAGCUCCUGCUGCAUGGUGGGGGUUGGAAAGUUUCGGCGGUUUGGGAUGGACUCGCGGCUUACCGGCUUGUUGGUGGGGUAGUGGCUUACCAAGGCUUUGACGGGUAGCCGGCCUGAGAGUGUGACCGGCCACAUUGGGCCUGAGAUACGGCCCGGACUCCUACGGGAGGCAGCAGUGGGGAAUAUUGCACAAUGGGCGGAAGCCUGAUGCAGCAACGCCGAGUGCGGGAUGACGGCCUUCGGGUUGUAAACCGCUUUCGCCUGUGACGAAGCGUGAGUGACGGUAAUGGGGAAAGAAGCACCGGCUAACUACGU
rnacentral:rRNA from 1 species